UUUAUUCAGGCCAAGAGCUCACUAAGUAAGGAAUCAGAAGUAUUAUUAUGAAAGUGGAGAGGGAACUUGGUCAUUUUCUUUGACUAUCUUCACUGUCUCGGGCUCAGUUCUCUCUGAGACAAGGAGCAAGUGGUUUUCCAAGAAGCACCAGUAGAGUAGAGGGGAAGUGGGGUGGAGAAUAAGGAGAAAGAAGCCGAUGAGGUGCAUUCAUGAGAAGAAGCCAUUGGGAACAUCGUUCCUCUUCAUCCCUAAUGUUGGAUGCCUCUCCAACCUAAGGAGCAAUCAUGCCAUUAAGACUAGGACCAGAGAAAACAAGACUAACUUGUUCAUACUUUAAUCACCUACCAUGGACCAAAUCAGAUUAAGGACCGGAAGAACUCUGACAUGCAGCUAGCAGACCCUCAUCUACAUCUUGGCUCUUUUCUCCCCAAAUUGACAGGAAGUCAGUCUAAGCCCCCAGUGUUUUGACUCACCUUUCUUUUGUUUCCCCAAGCCAUCACUGCCGUUAUGAAGCCUAAUUCACCUUACUGCUUCCUUUCCAACUCUCACUUCCCUCAUUAAUAAUUCUUACCCAGAGCCAACAACUAAUAAAUAUAU